UGCUGAGUUGGGCUUGCGGGGCGUAGGAGCGACCGCCUGAAAUCCAUCCAGUACCGAUUCAGUUGCGUCAAAAAGGAAAAAUCCAAUCCCUAUCGAGGCGCAGCGGAGCGGCCGCAUCGAUCCAUCCAGUCCUCUGCCACGUGAUCUGUCGCGCGAUCUUCCAGGAUCCAGCUGAGGCGCAUGAGUUGAUCCAGCCGAGAGAGGUGCCCGAGGGGAUCCAGAGGACGAGCAUGAUGCGGGUAAAUCGGGCGCCGGUCGAUCCAGCCGAGGCGGUCGAUCCACCUGCAAGGUAGAAUGGGGGAGCGAUAAUGUCCGCCGACUCAUCUACUGGUAACUGCUCAGACUUCAAACACGCAAUCACACUUCCGCAUCUAAGCACAUAUUCAUGGCGGGGCUGACGGCUCAUCUACUGGAAACUUCAGUUUCUAAGUGGUGCCGCGUGUAUAUAUGCUUCCUCCCUGCCACUCUUUGAUCUGAUCCAAAUCGAUCUGUUUGGGAGAGGGGAUAAAAGCUAGUGAGUCUGGUCUAUGCGGACGAGGCCAUACGGGGGUGGGGGCGCCACGCUGAUGGCGUGCGAAGUGAGGCGAUGCCGAAGACAUGGAGAUGGGAACCACACCUGCGGUUGUGUGCCGACCAUUGAAGGCUAUCCGCCGGCGUGAAGUACCUAUUCUUGUUAGUUAAGUACGCCACUUACCGUCUGCGAUUAAGCCAGGCACCUUACAAACAACCUACACACGCUUGAAUUCAUGCUCUUGUGCACAAUUUGCCUCACCCACCCAGUGAUUCUGAUGUGCUAAUGUGUUUUUGAUCUUAAUUUUGUACAGGCAGUGCUCAUCGUGGUUCUGGUUAAGUGAUUUUGGUAAAUCUUGGAAGUUGAUUCUCGAAUAUUGUCAACCUGCAGUGACUGCAUCCAGCUAAUUAGUUCAUGUAGACUGGCAGAUCUAGGACGGUAAAGAAGUAGAAAUAAUCGGAUGUCAAGUGGUCUAAGACAGAUGAUGCCUAGAGGAAGGUGGCCCUGGUGAAACAAAAUACAGAUCGGGAAUAGCAAGCACAAGGGCAAGGGAAGAAUGCCAUGCCCGAGAGCCACCCGAGGACUAGGUCCAUAUUCGGUAGAUAAGAGGGAAGACUAUGGAAACUAAGAACUACAACAUUCCAAAGAGGGAGCAAUAUUAUGUUCUUGGACGCUUCUUCACUUAUAUUCAGAUUUGUUCCAAUUUCUUGAUAGAAGAGAUUAUAAAGAGGGUAGUACAUAUUGCCUUUGCACAGUCCAGAUAAGUCAUUAGUGGAAAAAUUGUAUCCUUUUAACACCAGAGGAGACUAGAGAGAAGUGUCAAAAAAGGGAUACCAGAGAGUUACUUUCCAACAAAUCCACCAAAAAUGGUGAAAUGUGAAAUGAAGCAUCAUAGAUACAAUAUACGAUGCAUGCCGAUAUUAAAACAAUAUUUUCUCCUUA